UAAAACCAAUUUUUAUUCUGUAUUCUUCCCCCCCACCCCCAGAUUGACACAGGGGCGCAUUUUCAACACAGUGUGCCAGGAAUUAAGCAAUCAACUUCCAUUAACAAUAGCAAGUGCUGCAGACCCACUGCCCCCCCACACCAUGUGGAAAAUGGAGCCCACCAUGAUCAGUAAAGUAAGUUCACACAGAAAGAGAAUAAAAGUCUCAGAUACAGUUUAAUCUGCUGACAGGUUUCUGGGGAACAUAGCUAUGAUUAUUAGCAUUAAAGGUUUGAUUAGGAGUUCCAUGGAGCUGGAGAUUGAAGUAUCCUUUUAAAUCAUGCAGGCCUAAGUCCUCUUCUCAGAGGCACAUUCGUGGCUCGUAUUGACUUCAAUGGAAGACGCAUCUGUGCCCCGCAAGGGACCUGGACCUGCAACUGUGCACCCAGUGGUCACCGGGGACAGUAGGAGCUCAAGACCUUCACCGCAUUGGAACCAGGAGACUCCUGGCGUUGGCAAUCACUGGAACCAGGAACAAGAUAAGUGGAUUCAGGUGGAAGAUACCCAGAUCGGUGGGAUAGAUCAGAUAAGAUGGUGAAGGAAGUCCUUGAUGCCCGUGCAAACGUGACAGUCACUAGCGCCUCUCAGAGGGACAGCGUCACUGACAGGGUGUGCAGCCUUUUUAUGCCUUUUGUGUCGCGAAAGUGGAAAUUGACACCAGAGGAGCCCUGAUGGGUAGUUUGAGGGGUUUGUGUGUGUUUCCCCCUUGAUAAAUAGUUUUAAUAAAGUUGAGG
rnacentral:lncRNA from 1 species